AUUCCUUUCCCGAAUCUUCUCUUCCCUCAUCCACUCUAUCCCAUUACGUUAUUUUUCUUUUCACUCUCACUUACUUUUCAAACGUUGAACUAAGCUCCACUCUUAUUCUCCAAUUCCUGUGCCGCCAACUCAGGCAAAGACGUCGGUGGAGGAGAAUCCUCGUAGAUAACAAGCUGACAAUUGGCGUCGAAGUCGGAGUCGGCGCAUGGCCUCUUGAGUGGGGGAAGAAUCCUCAAUAUCAUUUUUCUUUUCUCUUCGCUGCACUUUGAUCAAUCAAAUCAAUCUUCCACAAUAUGAACCACACCAUUCUCUCUUUCUCUCUCUUAUUUGAAAUUGAAACCAACUCAUCCAACAAAGACGCCACUUCAAACCCCAAGAAUUAUAACCAUCGCAGAAACCCCUUCACAAAUUUACUCUACAAAACUGAAGAAUCUCAAAAGGCUUGCACUCAGGUGUCGUGGUGUAGUUGGUUAUCCCAUUGAAAUUGGGAAUCGAGGAAUUGGAGAGUGGAGAGUGGAGAGUGGAGCUUAGUUCAUGUUUGAGAAGUAAGAAGUGAAAGUGAAAAGAAAAAUAAUAGUAGCGGGGACAGAGUAGAUAAGAGAAGAGAGAAUUUAGAAAAUAAUUGGGAGUGAUUAGGUUAAUUUAGAAGGGUAAAUUGAAUUUUUUUUAUAAAUUUGUAGGGUUUAAAUAAUUUUGUCAAUCAAAGUCUAUUUUGUAGGGCCAUGGAUUCCUUACUCCCACUUUGAUUUUGAUGUGGGAGUACUAUUAACCUAUCUAAAAUUAUUUACAAAUUGAACCCCGUUUUCUUAUUUUUUAAAAAAACUAAUAAUUAAAAUUUUGUCUCUCUAGUUUUGCUUUUCACACUUUUUCCCUUUUCUUGUAACCAUAGUUUCAGAGAUGAGAUAUCUCUGCUAGGGUUUUUUCAAUAAUGCUCAUGUUUUCUCCCAUCUCUACAGCUACCACUGUCGCUAUUGCUGUCUUCACUCAGCACUGCCACCACCACUUCUACUGCCGCCACACCACACUUUCCGGUCUUCUGCGUUGUUGCGUUUCGUCUCUGCCCCUGCGAACUACUCAGUUUCAUUUUACUUUAUUUGUUUUAAUGCUUUUUCUAUGGCAAUUCUUGUGAAUUUGGAGGUUUUUCUGCUGUCUUCGCACCACAGUUCUUAUUUUAUUUUAUCCCUCUGCCCUGCUUUUUUGCUUUUUCGAAAAGAAAUUGCGGUAAGUCACUAAAGCAAUUUUAAUUAUGUGAGACAUGAGUCCGAGAGAUACAUCAUGCAGAUUUGGUCUUUCUUUAUCAAUUAGAAGUUAAAUCUUGUUGUUUAUAGGAUUGUUAGACUUGAUUGAUUAAUUUUUAUUUUGUAAUGUGUUUGCAUAAGCUUGUUCAGCUUCAUACGGAUACUUUCUCACUUGCUUCUAUUUUUAUUGGGUUAGAGCAAAUUCUCUGCCAUCUACAAACGAGUUCUCAGAGAUGGUUCUUCUGUGGUCAUCAGAAGUAUUAAUGUGACAUGCUGCAUACCUGAGGAAAUUGAAUUCUUGAAGGGAUUGAGCCUGCUAACCUCACUGAGACAUGAAAACAUUAUAAAGAUGAGAGGUUUUUGUUACUCAAGUAGUAGAGGUGAAUUUUACCUUGUCUAUGAUUUUGUAACCGGUGAAUGUCUAUGAUUUUGUUAUCUUGAUAUGGAAGAUGGAAGUGAAAAUGUGCUUGAGUCUUCUAAUAGGGUUUCCAUCAUCAAGGGCAAUGCAAAAGGGUAGUUCUUUUUUGACACCCAAUAUUUUCUAAGAAACUCAUUGUAGAUCAGAAAAUUUGCCUCUUUUUUACAACAAGGUCUUGGAUAUCUGCACAGCAAUGAAGCAAGCAAACCUACAAUGGUUCACCAAAAUAUUUUAGUUGAAAAAGUUCUUCUUGACAAUCAGUUUAACCCAUUGAUCAUGGAUGCUGGGUUCCCCAAGCUUCUAGCAGACGACAUUGUUUACUCGGCACCGAAAGUUGGUGCUGCCAUGGGAUACCUAGCUCCUGAAUACAUUACCACUGGACGCAUCACCGAGAAGAGUGACGUUUAUGCAUUCGGUGUCAUUGUUCUUUAAGUCCUGUCUGGGAAGACAACAGUAGGGGGUUCAAUCAGAAUGGCAGUUGAGUUUUUGAGAUUUGAUGAUUUUGUGGACACAAAUCUAAAGGAAAAAUAUUCGAAACUAGAAGCAGCAAUUCUUUCAAAGAUUGCAGUGAUGUGCAUUCAUGAGCUUUCUGAGCAAAGGCCAAACAUGGUAGAGGUGAUUCAGGAACUAAGCAUUUAUUCUUCUCAUUCUUCAUGAUCUAGAACUUUCAGUGGGUAUCAUAAAUUCCUAACACAUUUGAUUCAUUCAUGACCAUGGUUUUCUUUAGCAUAUUCACUGAAUUAUCCAUUGCUAAAUUGUUGUGAACUUCAACGGAAUCAUGCUGCUUCAUUUCUGCACACAACUGAAAUUGUUGAAGGAUGUUCCUUUAUUGGAAAUCAAAUAGCUUCCAGAUAAUGAAUUAAAUUGUUAAUAAUCUCGGUGGAAGCAAUUUAACUGUUUCCAAAAUAAGAGCAUGAAUAUACCAACGUCAGAUAGGGGUAAGAAUCUGCACUAUAAGCAUACGAAGUAAUCAUAGUGGUAUAAGCAGCAAGUUCUUCGUUGACAAUUUUCAUCAAACGCCUUAUAUGCAUCAUCCAUUCUCCCAUAUUUUGUAUCAUAGAAGAUUCCUACAGAAAGUAACCGCUAAUUAUAAUAGUUUAGUAGUAUGAAAUUGUGCAAGUAAAUGCUUUAGUAGUUUACAAUUUUAAAUAGUGUAGUGGUUUACAA